CCUACGGGUGGCAGCAGGGAGGAAUAGUGGACAAUGGGCGCGAGCCGGAACCAGCCAAGUAGCGUGAAGGAUGAAUGCCCUACGGGGUGUAAAAUUCUGUUAUAAAGGAAUAAAGUGAGGCACGUGUGCCUUUUUGUAUGUACUUUAUGAAUAAGGAUCGGCGAACUCCGUGCCAGCAGCCGCGGUAAUACGGAGGAACCGAGCGUUAUCCGGAUUUAGUGGGUUUAAAGGGAGCGUAGAGGGGUUGUUAAGUGAGUUGUGAAAGUUUGCGGCUCACCCGUAAAAUUGCAAUUGAUACUGGCAGUCUUGAGUACAGUUGAGGUAGGCGGAAUUCGUGGUGUAGCGGUGAAAUGCUUAGAUAUCACGAAGAACUCCGAUUGCGAAGGCAGCUUACUAAACUGCCACUGACAUUGAUGCUCGAAAGUGUGGGUAUCAAACAGGAUUAGAUACCCCUGUAGUC
rnacentral:rRNA from 1 species